GAACAUGGCAAGCGUAUAUGCGCGUCUCCCUCUACGAAUGUAUCCAGACAUAUACUACAAUCCUGUGAAGCUCUUGAUACCGCCCCUUCAACCUUGCUGCUGAAAACCUCCAGGUGCAAACAAUCUAGAGCCUCCUGACUGAGACCAGGUGGCUUCUUCUUCGGUUUUAUACAUUCUAUUUGCUUCCCUAGGUUACAUGUUAAUUUCUGUUCCUAAUGGAUACACAGAUAACGGUUUAAUGGAAUUUAAAGGGUAAAGAAAUGUUUGGAACUAUGAAA